GAUGAACGCUGGCGGCGUGCCUAAUACAUGCAAGUCGAGCGAACAGACGAGGAGCUUGCUCCUCUGACGUUAGCGGCGGACGGGUGAGUAACACGUGGAUAACCUACCUAUAAGACUGGGAUAACUUCGGGAAACCGGAGCUAAUACCGGAUAAUAUAUUGAACCGCAUGGUUCAAUAGUGAAAGAUGGUUUUGCUGUCACUUAUAGAUGGAUCCGCGCCGCAUUAGCUAGUUGGUAAGGUAACGGCUUACCAAGGCAACGAUGCGUAGCCGACCUGAGAGGGUGAUCGGCCACACUGGAACUGAGACACGGUACAGACUCCUACGGGAGGCAGCAGUAGGGAAUCUUCCGCAAAGGGCGAAAGCCUGACGGAGCAACGCCGCGUGAGUGAUGAAGGUCUUCGGAUCGUAAAACUCUGUUAUUAGGGAAGAACAAAUGUGUAAGUAACUAUGCACGUCUUGACGGUACCUAAUCAGAAAGCCACGGCUAACUACGUG
rnacentral:rRNA from 1 species